AGCCCCUAGCGCAGACGGCGGAGAGCAGAGAGGGAGCGCGCCUUGGCUCGCUGGCCUUGGCGGCGGCUCCUCAGGAGAGCUGGGGCGCCCACGAGAGGAUCCCUCACCCGGGUCUCUCCUCAGGGAUGACAUCAUCCGUCCACCUCCUUGUCUUCAAGGACCACCUCCUCUCCAUGCUGAGCUGCUGCCAAGGGGCCUGCUGCCCAUCUACACCUCACGAGGGCACUAGGAGCACGGUUUCCUGGAUCCCACCAACAUACAAAGCAGCCACUCACUGACCCCCAGGACCAGGAUGGCAAAGGAUGAAGAGGACCGGAACUGACCAGCCAGCUGUCCCUCUUACCUAAAGACUUAAACCAAUGCCCUAGUGAGGGGGCAUUGGGCAUUAAGCCCUGACCUUUGCUAUGCUCAUACUUUGACUCUAUGAGUACUUUCCUAUAAGUCUUUGCUUGUGUUCACCUGCUAGCAAACUGGAGUGUUUCCCUCCCCAAGGGGGUGUCAGUCUUUGUCGACUGACUCUGUCAUCACCCUUAUGAUGUCCUGAAUGGAAGGAUCCCUUUGGGAAAUUCUCAGGAGGGGGACCUGGGCCAAGGGCUUGGCCAGCAUCCUGCUGGCAACUCCAAGGCCCUGGGUGGGCUUCUGGAAUGAGCAUGCUACUGAAUCACCAAAGGCACGCCCGACCUCUCUGAAGAUCUUCCUAUCCUUUUCUGGGGGAAUGGGGUCGAUGAGAGCAACCUCCUAGGGUUGUUGUGAGAAUUAAAUGAGAUAAAAGAGGCCUCAGGCAGGAUCUGGCAUAGAGGAGGUGAUCAGCAAAUGUUUGUUGAAAAGGUUUGACAGGUCAGUCCCUUCCCACCCCUCUUGCUUGUCUUACUUGUCUUAUUUAUUCUCCAACAGCACUCCAGGCAGCCCUUGUCCACGGGCUCUCCUUGCAUCAGGUAGGGGCUUUGCAGAGACCAUCGACGGGCUGACUUGAGGCUAAUCUCGGGCCUUGUCGAAGGAAGAGGCUGCAGACGUUAAUGAGGUUAGCUGCUGGAUUCCAGUAUUCGUCGCAUAAGGAUCCUUCUUUGUCUGCGAAGGAAAAACACACUGAUUAUCAUAAUGAGGCACGUGGGCCGUGGCCCGGCUGGGUCGGCUGAAGAACUGCGGAUGGAAGCUGCGGAAGAGGCCCUGAUGGGGCCCACCAUCCCGGACCCAAGUCUUCUUCCUGGCGGGCCUCUCGUCUCCUUCCUGGUUUGGGCGGAAGCCAUCACCUGGAUGCCUACGUGGGAAGGGACCUCGAAUGUGGGACCCCAGCCCCUCUCCAGCUCGAAAUCCCUCCACAGCCACGGGGACACCCUGCACCUAUUCCCACGGGACAGGCUGGACCCAGAGACUCUGGACCCGGGGCCUCCCCUUGAGUAGAGACCCGCCCUCUGACUGAUGGACGCCGCUGACCUGGGGUCAGACCCGUGGGCUGGACCCCUGCCCACCCCGCAGGAACCCUGAGGCCUAGGGGAGCUGUUGAGCCUUCAGUGUCUGCAUGUGGGAAGUGGGCUCCUUCACCUACCUCACAGGGCUGUUGUGAGGGGCGCUGUGAUGCGGUUCCAAAGCACAGGGCUUGGCGCACCCCACUGUGCUCUCAAUAAAUGUGUUUCCUGUCUUAACAAAAA
rnacentral:lncRNA from 1 species